rnacentral:rRNA from 1 species
GACGAGCGCUGGCGGCGUGCUUAACACAUGCAAGUCGAACGAUGAAGCCUAGCUUGCUAGGUGGAUUAGUGGCGAACGGGUGAGUAAUACGUGAGUGACCUACCUUUGACUCUGGGAUAAGCCUGGGAAACUGGGUCUAAUACCGGAUACGACCAAUCUCCGCAUGGGGUGUUGGUGGAAAGCGUUAUGGAGUGGUUUUAGAUGGGCUCACGGCCUAUCAGCUUGUUGGUGAGGUAAUGGCUUACCAAGGCGACGACGGGUAGCCGGCCUGAGAGGGUGACCGGCCACACUGGGACUGAGACACGGCCCAGACUCCUACGGGAGGCAGCAGUGGGGAAUAUUGCACAAUGGGCGCAAGCCUGAUGCAGCGACGCCGCGUGAGGGAUGACGGCCUUCGGGUUGUAAACCUCUGUUAGCAUCGAAGAAGCGAAAGUGACGGUAGGUGCAGAGAAAGCGCCGGCUAACUACGCGCCAGCAGCCGCGGUAAUACGUAGGGCGCGAGCGUUGUCCGGAAUUAUUGGGCGUAAAGAGCUUGUAGGCGGUUGGUCGCGUCUGCUGUGAAGGCUGGGGCUUAACCCUGGUUUUGCAGUGGGUACGGGCUAACUAGAGUGCAGUAGGGGAGACUGGAAUUCCUGGUGUAGCGGUGGAAUGCGCAGAUAUCAGGAGGAACACCGAUGGCGAAGGCAGGUCUCUGGGCUGUAACUGACGCUGAGAAGCGAAAGCAUGGGGAGCGAACAGGAUUAGAUACCCUGGUAGUCCAUGCCGUAAACGUUGGGCACUAGGUGUGGGGGACAUUCCACGUUUUCCGCGCCGUAGCUAACGCAUUAAGUGCCCCGCCUGGGGAGUACGGCCGCAAGGCUAAAACUCAAAGAAAUUGACGGGGGCCCGCACAAGCGGCGGAGCAUGCGGAUUAAUUCGAUGCAACGCGAAGAACCUUACCAAGGCUUGACAUAUACUGGACUGCGUCAGAGAUGGCGUUUCCCUUCGGGGCUGGUAUACAGGUGGUGCAUGGUUGUCGUCAGCUCGUGUCGUGAGAUGUUGGGUUAAGUCCCGCAACGAGCGCAACCCUCGUUCUAUGUUGCCAGCACGUGAUGGUGGGGACUCAUAGGAGACUGCCGGGGUUAACUCGGAGGAAGGUGGGGAUGACGUCAAAUCAUCAUGCCCCUUAUGUCUUGGGCUUCACGCAUGCUACAAUGGCCGGUACAGAGGGUUGCGAUACUGUGAGGUGGAGCUAAUCCCUAAAAGCCGGUCUCAGUUCGGAUUGGGGUCUGCAACUCGACCCCAUGAAGUCGGAGUCGCUAGUAAUCGCAGAUCAGCAGCGCUGCGGUGAAUACGUUCCCGGGCCU